CUCUCAAAUUUAUCAUGAAAAUGGCCGUAGAUGAUCCUUUCCACCGACCCGCACGAUACUAUAUAGUUCUCCGAAUCAUUAAGUCGAUUUGAAGUUUUGGAGCUAAAAUGGCCGCGGGAAACCUGAUGAGAAGAACCGAGAAGAAUGGCUACGGCUGUCGGAAACCGAACGAACGAAUUCCACUGGUUGAUUUUGUUAUUGAGAUUCCGAUGUCAUCUGAAUACGAAUCAUGAAAAAUUAUUCACCAUCAACGAAACGAAUCAUUGUAUUGAACAAGACGGACCUAGCGGAUCGGUUACAGACAGAGGACUGGACAAGAUAUUUUGAAGACCAUGCAUCUCUUAUGGCGUUAGGAGAAUAUUAGGGAGUUCUUGAACAUUCUUCAAGCUAGAGUUAGACAAUUGAAGAAGAGCGGUCAUUCUAGUCAUGCCACAACAAUGGUGCUUCUUUGAAAUCCAAAUGUCACUAAGUCGGCCCUUGCAACUCUCUGCAUCAAAUUGGGACAAUUAGUGCUUAUCGCUCACCUCACAGAAAAGGGUAGUUGAAGUAUACUAUGGUGAGCCACAGCCUUGUGAAACAAAAAAUUAUCAGCAGCUUGAAGAUAGCCAGUCAUCCCAAUAUUUAUGUGUUAGAUACCCAGGGAUUUUGCAAUCCAAGAUUCUCAACCUCGAGUGGCUUAGAGACAUCUUAGUCGGGGAAAAAUGUAAUUGUACAGUGCCUCUUAACUACUGUCAAGUCAAGUGUGAUAAAUAUAAGAAGCUGUGACAGCUCGUUGGAGUGUUCAACUUGUUCAAAUUCAGAGAAACUAAAAAGGGGGUAUCCAUCUGAUCACACGCAGGUAUAAGCACUAUUUGGUUUUUUUUUUUUUUUUUUUUUUUUUUUUUUUU